rnacentral:rRNA from 1 species
UGGAGGACCGAACCGACUAAUGUUGAAAAAUUAGCGGAUGACCUGUGGCUGGGGGUGAAAGGCCAAUCAAACCGGGAGAUAGCUGGUUCUCCCCGAAAGCUAUUUAGGUAGCGCCUCGUGAAUUCAUCUCCGGGGGUAGAGCACUGUUUCGGCUAGGGGGCCAUCCCGGCUUACCAACCCGAUGCAAACUGCGAAUACCGGAGAAUGUUAUCACGGGAGACACACGGCGGGUGCUAACGUCCGUCGUGAAGAGGGAAACAACCCAGACCGCCAGCUAAGGUCCCAAAGUCAUGGUUAAGUGGGAAACGAUGUGGGAAGGCCCAGACAGCCAGGAUGUUGGCUUAGAAGCAGCCAUCAUUUAAAGAAAGCGUAAUAGCUCACUGGUCGAGUCGGCCUGCGCGGAAGAUGUAACGGGGCUAAACCAUGCACCGAAGCUGCGGCAGCGACACUGUGUGUUGUUGGGUAGGGGAGCGUUCUGUAAGCCUGUGAAGGUGUGUCGUGAGGCAUGCUGGAGGUAUCAGAAGUGCGAAUGCUGACAUAAGUAACGAUAAAGCGGGUGAAAAGCCCGCUCGCCGGAAGACCAAGGGUUCCUGUCCAACGUUAAUCGGGGCAGGGUGAGUCGACCCCUAAGGCGAGGCCGAAAGGCGUAGUCGAUGGGAAACGGGUUAAUAUUCCCGUACUUGGUGUUACUGCGAAGGGGGGACGGAGAAGGCUAUGUUGGCCGGGCGACGGUUGUCCCGGUUUAAGCGUGUAGGUGUGUGUUCCAGGUAAAUCCGGUUCACUUUAACACUGAGGCGUGACGACGAGGCACUACGGUGCUGAAGCAACAAAUGCCCUGCUUCCAGGAAAAGCCUCUAAGCAUCAGGUAACAUCAAAUCGUACCCCAAACCGACACAGGUGGUCAGGUAGAGAAUACCAAGGCGCUUGAGAGAACUCGGGUGAAGGAACUAGGCAAAAUGGUGCCGUAACUUCGGGAGAAGGCACGCUGACACGUAGGUGAAGUGAUUUACUCAUGGAGCUGAAGUCAGUCGAAGAUACCAGCUGGCUGCAACUGUUUAUUAAAAACACAGCACUGUGCAAACACGAAAGUGGACGUAUACGGUGUGACGCCUGCCCGGUGCCGGAAGGUUAAUUGAUGGGGUCAGCGCAAGCGAAGCUCCUGAUCGAAGCCCCGGUAAACGGCGGCCGUAACUAUAACGGUCCUAAGGUAGCGAAAUUCCUUGUCGGGUAAGUUCCGACCUGCACGAAUGGCGUAAUGAUGGCCAGGCUGUCUCCACCCGAGACUCAGUGAAAUUGAACUCGCUGUGAAGAUGCAGUGUACCCGCGGCAAGACGGAAAGACCCCGUGAACCUUUACUAUAGCUUGACACUGAACAUUGAGCCUUGAUGUGUAGGAUAGGUGGGAGGCUUUGAAGUGUGGACGCCAGUCUGCAUGGAGCCGACCUUGAAAUACCACCCUUUAAUGUUUGAUGUUCUAACGUGGACCCGUUACCCGGGUUGCGGACAGUGUCUGGUGGGUAGUUUGACUGGGGCGGUCUCCUCCUAAAGAGUAACGGAGGAGCACGAAGGUUGGCUAAUCCUGGUCGGACAUCAGGAGGUUAGUGCAAUGGCAUAAGCCAGCUUGACUGCGAGCGUGACGGCGCGAGCAGGUGCGAAAGCAGGUCAUAGUGAUCCGGUGGUUCUGAAUGGAAGGGCCAUCGCUCAACGGAUAAAAGGUACUCCGGGGAUAACAGGCUGAUACCGCCCAAGAGUUCAUAUCGACGGCGGUGUUUGGCACCUCGAUGUCGGCUCAUCACAUCCUGGGGCUGAAGUAGGUCCCAAGGGUAUGGCUGUUCGCCAUUUAAAGUGGUACGCGAGCUGGGUUUAGAACGUCGUGAGACAGUUCGGUCCCUAUCUGCCGUGGGCGCUGGAGAACUGAGGGGGGCUGCUCCUAGUACGAGAGGACCGGAGUGGACGCAUCACUGGUGUUCGGGUUGUCAUGCCAAUGGCACUGCCCGGUAGCUAAAUGCGGAAGAGAUAAGUGCUGAAAGCAUCUAAGCACGAAACUUGCCCCGAGAUGAGUUCUCCCUGAGACUUAAAGUCUCCUGAAGGAACGUUGAAGACGACGACGUUGAUAG